UGGCUCACCAGGGCCUGGCCCUCUCCUUGUGGUGCUGACCUGUCCCUCUAUGAGCAAGAGUAUCAGGACUGGCUCGGGGGGUGGUGUCCUGCCUGAGCGGAAGUGGUGACACCCAAUGGUUUUCAGAACAUAA